rnacentral:rRNA from 1 species
UACGGGGGGGGGUAAGCGUUGUUCGGAAUUACUGGGCGUAAAGGGCUCGUAGGCGGCCAACUAAGUCAGACGUGAAAUCCCUCAGCUUAACUGGGGAACUGCGUCUGAUACUGGAUGGCUUGGAUUCGGGAGAGGAAUGCGGAAUUCCAGGUGUAGCGGUGAAAUGCGUAGAUAUCUGGAGGAACACCGGUGGCGAAGGCGGCAUUCUGGACCGACAUUGACGCUGAGGAGCGAAAGCGUGGGUAGCAAACAGG